rnacentral:rRNA from 1 species
GACGAACGCUGGCGGCGUGCCUAACACAUGCAAGUCGAACGGAACUGUUUUGAAAGAUUUCUUCGGAAUGAAUUUGAUUUAGUUUAGUGGCGGACGGGUGAGUAACGCGUGAGUAACCUGCCUUCAAGAGGGGAAUAACAUUCUGAAAAGAAUGCUAAUACCGCAUGACAUAUCGGAAUCACAUGGUUUUGAUAUCAAAGAUUUUAUCGCUUGAAGAUGGACUCGCGUCCGAUUAGUUAGUUGGUGAGGUAACGGCUCACCAAGACCGCGAUCGGUAGCCGGACUGAGAGGUUGAACGGCCACAUUGGGACUGAGACACGGCCCAGACUCCUACGGGAGGCAGCAGUGGGGGAUAUUGCGCAAUGGGGGCAACCCUGACGCAGCAACGCCGCGUGAAGGAUGAAGGUUUUCGGAUUGUAAACUUCUUUUAUUAAGGACGAAAAAUGACGGUACUUAAUGAAUAAGCUCCGGCUAACUACGUG